rnacentral:rRNA from 1 species
UACGGAGGGUGCAAGCGUUGUCCGGAUUUAUUGGGUUUAAAGGGUGCGUAGGCGGCUUUUUAAGUCAGUGGUGAAAGACAACAGCUCAACUGUUGCAGUGCCAUUGAUACUGAAGAGCUUGAGUACAGAUGAGGUAGGCGGAAUUUAUGGUGUAGCGGUGAAAAUGCAUAGAUACCAUAAAGAACACCUAUUGCGAAGGCAGCUUACUAAGCUGUAACUGACGCUGAGGCACGAAAGUGUGGGGAUCAAACAGG